GGCUGAAAUUCGCCUUCCAUGAAGCCGGAAUUGCUAGUAAUGGCAGGUCAGCAUACUGCCGUGAAUACGUUCCCGGGCCUUGUACACACCGCCCGUCACACCAUGAGAGUUGGGAAUACCCGAAGCCUGUGAGCUAACUAAUAGAGGCAGCAGUCGAAGGUAGAAUCAAUGAUUGGGGUGAAGUCGUAACAAGGUAAC
rnacentral:rRNA from 1 species